GGCCUACCAUGGUGGUAACGGGUAACGGGGUGUUAGGGCACGACACCGGAGAGGGAGCCUGAGAAACGGCUACCACAUCCAAGGAAGGCAGCAGGCGCGCAAAUUACCCAAUCCCGACACGGGGAGGUAGUGACAAUAAAUAACAAUACAGGGUUCUUUAGGAUCUUGUAAUUGGAAUGAGUACAAUUUAAAUCUCUUAACGAGGAACAAUUGGAGGGCAAGUCUGGUGCCAGCAGCCGCGGUAAUUCCAGCUCCAAUAGCGUAUAUUAAAGUUGUUGCAGUUAAAAAGCUCGUAGUUGAAUUUCGGGAUCAAUGGGUUGGUCAUGCCCUCGGUAUGUACUGAUUUCAUUGGUUCUCACCUAAGGAACCAUGAUGUCAUUUAUUUGAUGUUGUGGGAAAUUAGGACUGUUACCUUGAAAAAAUUAGAGUGUUUAAAGCAGGCUAACGCUUGAAUACAUUAGCAUGGAAUAAUGAAAUAGGACAUCCGAUUCUAUUUUGUUGGUUUCUAGGAUCGAUGUAAUGAUUAAUAGGGAUAGUUGGGGGCAUUAGUAUUCAAUUGUCAGAGGUGAAAUUCUUGGAUUUAUUGAAGACUAACUACUGCGAAAGCAUUUGCCAAGGAUGUUUUCAUUAAUCAAGAACGAAAGUUAGGGGAUCGAAGACGAUCAGAUACCGUCGUAGUCUUAACCAUAAACUAUGCCGACUAGGGAUCGGAUGAUGCUUAUUUUUUAAUGACUCAUUCGGCACCUUACG
rnacentral:rRNA from 1 species